rnacentral:rRNA from 1 species
CAGUAGCCACGGGAAUACAGAGGGUGCAAGCGUUAAUCGGAAUUACUGGGCGUAAAGCGCGCGUAGGUGGUUCGCCAAGUUGGAUGUGAAAUCCCCGGGCUCAACCUGGGAACUGCAUCCAAAACUGGCGAGCUAGAGUAUGGUAGAGGGUGGUGGAAUUUCCUGUGUAGCGGUGAAAUGCGUAGAUAUAGGAAGGAACAUCAGUGGCGAAGGCGACCACCUGGACUGAUACUGACACUGAGGUGCGAAAGCGUGGGGAGCAAACAGGAUUAGAUACCCCUGUAGUCCCUGUCUCUUAUAC